rnacentral:rRNA from 1 species
AUUGAACGCUGGCGGCAGGCCUAACACAUGCAAGUCGAGCGGGAACUUCGGUUCUAGCGGCGGACGGGUGAGUAAUGCGUAGGAAGCUACCCGACAGAGGGGGAUACCAGUUGGAAACGACUGUUAAUACCGCAUAAUGUCUACGGACCAAAGUGUGGGACCUUCGGGCCACAUGCUGUCGGAUGCGCCUACGUGGGAUUAGCUAGUUGGUGAGGUAAUGGCUCACCAAGGCGACGAUCCCUAGCUGGUUUGAGAGGAUGAUCAGCCACACUGGAACUGAGACACGGUCCAGACUCCUACGGGAGGCAGCAGUGGGGAAUAUUGGACAAUGGGCGAAAGCCUGAUCCAGCCAUGCCGCGUGUGUGAAGAAGGCCUUCGGGUUGUAAAGCACUUUCAGUAGGGAGGAAGAGUUGAGUGUUAAUAGUACUCAGCUUUGACGUUACCUACAGAAGAAGCACCGGCUAACUCUGUGCCAGCCGCCGCGGUAAUAC